GGCGAACGCUGGCGGCGUGCUUAACACAUGCAAGUCGAACGGAAAGGCCCUGCUUUUGUGGGGUGCUCGAGUGGCGAACGGGUGAGUAACACGUGAGUAACCUGCCCUUGACUUUGGGAUAACUUCAGGAAACUGGGGCUAAUACCGGAUAGGAGCUCCUGCUGCAUGGUGGGGGUUGGAAAGUUUCGGCGGUUGGGGAUGGACUCGCGGCUUAUCAGCUUGUUGGUGUGGUAGUGGCUUACCAAGGCUUUGACGGGUAGCCGGCCUGAGAGGGUGACCGGCCACAUUGGGACUGAGAUACGGCCCAGACUCCUACGGGAGGCAGCAGUGGGGAAUAUUGCACAAUGGGCGGAAGCCUGAUGCAGCAACGCCGCGUGCGGGAUGACGGCCUUCGGGUUGUAAACCGCUUUCGCCUGUGACGAAGCGUGAGUGACGGUAAUGGGUAAAGAAGCACCGGCUAACUACGUG
rnacentral:rRNA from 1 species